UGAAAGUUUUGGUCCUAGACUUUCUGUUAUUUAUGAUUAAGACUAUACAUGCAAGAAUCCCCCACUCCGGUGAGUCCGCCCAAUCACCACUGGAGCAGGUAUCAGGCACCGACCGUCAGCCAAAAACGCCAAGAACCCCCACACUCACACGGGUAUACAGCAGUGAUCAACAUUAGGCCAUGAGUUACACUCGACCUAACUACAAUCUGAAGGGCCGGCAAACUUCGUGCCAGCCGCCGCGGUUAUACGAAACUGGCCCCCAAUAACGAACAGCGGCAUAAAGCGUGAAUACACUUUUCAACACACUAUACACCAACUUUCCCCAUGCGUAAAACCAAAGAGGUCACUUAAAACCAACAUGAGUCUAACCCAAGAAACUUUAACUCACGAAAGCUAGGGAACAAACUAGGAUUAGAUACCCUACUAUGCCCAGCCAUAAGCCCUAAACACCUCAUCCGCCAGAAGACAACGAGCAAAGCUUAAAACUCAAAGGACUUGGCGGCACCCCAUACCGCCCUAGAGGGGCCUGUCAUAUAAUCGAUAACCCACGAUAAACCCGACCCCCCUUAGCCGACUCAGCCUAUAUACCGCCGUCGCCAGCCCAUCUUAAAAAGAAGCGUAAUGGACAAAACAGUCUUGCACUAACACGACAGGUCAAGGUGUAGCCCAUGGGGGGGGAACUGAUGGACCACAUUGCUAUCAAAAGCCAAACCAAAAUUACACUGAAAACAUAAUUUAAGGUGAAUUUAGCAGUAAGAAGAACAAGAAAAUUUAUCUGAAAAAUGCCCUGGGGUGUGCACACACCGCCCGUCACCCUACUUUACCACCAAACAAGAAAAAUAUAUUACACAACACUUCAUCGAGAGUAGGAAAGUCGUAACAAGGUAAGCGCACCGGAAGGUGCGCUUGGAAGA
rnacentral:ncRNA from 1 species